rnacentral:tRNA from 1 species
CCAGUGGUGGUUCAGUGGUAGAAUUCCCGCCUUGCAUUUGGGAGACCUGGGUUCAAGUCCUGGCCAAUGCA